rnacentral:rRNA from 1 species
CCUACGGGUGGCAGCAGUGGGGAAUAUUGCACAAUGGGGGAAACCCUGAUGCAGCGACGCCGCGUGAGUGAAGAAGUAUUUCGGUAUGUAAAGCUCUAUCAGCAGGAACGAGACAAGACGGUACCUGACUAAGAAGCCCCGGCUAACUACGUGCCAGCAGCCGCGGUAAUACGUAGGGGGCAAGCGUUAUCCGGAAUCACUGGGUGUAAGGGGAGCGUAGACGGCUGAGCAAGCCUGAAGUGAAAGGCGGGGGCCCAACCCCCGGACUGCUUUGGGAACUGUACGGCUGGAGUGCAGGAGAGGUAAGUGGAAUUCCUAGGGUAGCGGUGAAAUGCGUAGAUAUUAGGAGGAACACCAGUGGCGAAGGCGGCUUACUGGACUGUAACUGACGUUGAGGCUCGAAAGCGUGGGGAGCAAACAGGAUUAGAUACCCGGGUAGUC